GACGAACGCUGGCGGCGUGCUUAACACAUGCAAGUCGAGCCGGUAAGGGCCCUUUCGGGGGUACACGAGCGGCGAACGGGUGAGUAACACGUGGGUGACCUGCCCUCACGCUCUGGGAUAAGCCCGGGAAACUGGGUCCUAAUACCGGAUAUGACUUCAUGACGCAUGUUGUGGAGUGGAAAGCCUUGUGCGGCUGAGGAUGGGCCC
rnacentral:rRNA from 1 species